UACGUAGGGAGCAAGCGUUGUCCGGAAUCAUUGGGCGUAAAGCGCGCGUAGGCGGCCUCGUAAGUCCGUUGUGAAAGUCAAAGGCUCAACCUUUGAAAGCCGAUGGAUACUGUGAGGCUAGAGUCCGGAAGAGGCGAGUGGAAUUCCUGGUGUAGCGGUGGAAUGCGCAGAUAUCAGGAGGAACACCAAUAGCGAAGGCAGCUCGCUGGGACGAUACUGACGCUAAGGCGCGAAAGCCAGGGGAGCGAACGGG
rnacentral:rRNA from 1 species